rnacentral:misc_RNA from 1 species
CACGGUUAUUUUAGUUGUUCCAAAAAACUACUUGGGUACUUGGUAUACACUUUCUGUGUCUGUCCAAAAUUUCCAGUCGUGAAAUUGAUGCACCAGGACUCAUCAAUGAGCCAAUUAAAAUUCUAACAAAACCCACAAAAAUAUAUGCACAGAUCUCAAGACUGCGUGUAUUAAAGAAAAAAAAAAUUCUUACCAUUUACAAUAACAAGAACUCAGUUGCUAAAUGUAAACUUCAAAUCCCCGGUUCUUGCACCCAUUGAAGCCUCAACUUGCAGGAUAAGUAAUCACUUGUUGGGCACAUACGGACUACUGUUAAUUCUUUUCUUCGGUUUCCAUGGAACCUUCAUUGAUCUUCACUGUAUUUGCACUGGUCUCAGAUGGUUGAUCAGAAGAGAGUGACUGCUGCUCUAAAGUAGCGCCUGGAUUGAUCGGUUUCUUGAACUGCACUAUGAUCAUGGUCAUGUUGUCACAUCCCUCGCCACCAACAAUAGGUGCUAAACAUCUGUCGAAAACUUUCUCACAAAUUACUGAAAGCUUAGUUUCAGUGUUUAACUGCUCACGCACAUAAUCCACCAGCUGUUGGCUUGACAUGCAAUCCCAAAUGCCAUCACAAGC